CAGCAGCCGCGGUAAUACGUAGGGAGCAAGCGUUGUCCGGAUUUACUGGGUGUAAAGGGUGCGUAGGCGGCUAGGCAAGUCAGACGUGAAAACCAUGGGCUCAACCUGUGGACUGCGUUUGAAACUGUUUAGCUUGAGUGAAGUAGAGGUAGGCGGAAUUCCCGGUGUAGCGGUGAAAUGCGUAGAGAUCGGGAGGAACACCAGUGGCGAAGGCGGCCUACUGGGCUUUAACUGACGCUGAGGCACGAAAGCAUGGGUAGCAAACAGGAUUAGAUACCCUGGUAGUCCAUGCCGUAAACGAUGAUUACUAGGUGUGGGGGGUCUGACCCCCUCCGUGCCGGAGUUAACACAAUAAGUAAUCCACCUGGGGAGU
rnacentral:rRNA from 1 species